ACUCCUACGGGAGGCAGCAGUGGGGAAUAUUGCACAAUGGGCGAAAGCCUGAUGCAGCAACGCCGCGUGAACGAUGAAGGUCUUCGGAUCGUAAAGUUCUGUCGCAGGGGAAGAUAAUGACGGUACCCUGUGAGGAAGCACCGGCUAACUACGUGCCAGCAGCCGCGGUAAU
rnacentral:rRNA from 3 species